rnacentral:rRNA from 1 species
GAUGAACGCUGGCGGCGUGCCUAAUACAUGCAAGUCGAGCGAACAGACGAGGAGCUUGCUCCUCUGACGUUAGCGGCGGACGGGUGAGUAACACGUGGAUAACCUACCUAUAAGACUGGGAUAACUUCGGGAAGCCGGAGCUAAUACCGGAUAAUAUAUUGAACCGCAUGGUUCAAUAGUGAAAGACGGUUUUGCUGUCACUUAUAGAUGGAUCCGCGCCGCAUUAGCUAGUUGGUAAGGUAACGGCUUACCAAGGCGACGAUGCGUAGCCGACCUGAGAGGGUGAUCGGCCACACUGGAACUGGGACACGGUCCAGACUCCUACGGGAGGCAGCAGUAGGGAAUCUUCCGCAGUGGGCGAAAGCCUGACGGAGCAACGCCGCGUGAGUGAUGAAGGUCUUCGGAUCGUAAAACUCUGUUAUUAGGGAAGAACAAAUGUGUAAGUAACUAUGCACGUCUUGACGGUACCUAAUCAGAAAGCCACGGCUAACUACGUG